rnacentral:tRNA from 3 species
GGGUCGGUAGCGAAGUGGACAAACGCAGCAGACUGUAAAUCUGCCGGCUUAUGCCUUCGGAGGUUCGAAUCCUCCCCGGCCCA